rnacentral:rRNA from 1 species
UCAGGCCUAACACAUGCAAGUCGAGCGGAAACGAGUUAACUGAACCUUCGGGGAACGUUAACGGCGUCGAGCGGCGGACGGGUGAGUAAUGCCCGGGAAAUUGCCCUGAAGUGGGGGAUAACCAUUGGAAACGAUGGCUAAUACCGCAUAAUAGCUUCGGCUCAAAGAGGGGGACCUUCGGGCCUCUCGCGUCAGGAUAUGCCCAGGUGGGAUUAGCUAGUUGGUGAGGUAAGGGCUCACCAAGGCGACGAUCCCUAGCUGGUCUGAGAGGAUGAUCAGCCACACUGGAACUGAGACACGGUCCAGACUCCUACGGGAGGCAGCAGUGGGGAAUAUUGCACAAUGGGCGCAAGCCUGAUGCAGCCAUGCCGCGUGUAUGAAGAAGGCCUUCGGGUUGUAAAGUACUUUCAGCAGUGAGGAAGGUGGUAGUGUUAAUAGCACUAUCAUUUGACGUUAGCUGCAGAAGAAGCGCCGGCUAACUCCGUGCCAGCAGCCGCGGUAAUACGGAGGGUGCGAGCGUUAAUCGGAAUUACUGGGCGUAAAGCGCAUGCAGGUGGUUUGUUAAGUCAGAUGUGAAAGCCCGGGGCUCAACCUCGGAAUUGCAUUUGAAACUGGCAGACUAGAGUACUGUAGAGGGGGGUAGAAUUUCA